rnacentral:miRNA from 1 species
AGCCAGAAAAGAGAGAGAGAGAGAGAGAGAGAGAGAGAGAGAGAACAACAACGCAACUCGUCUAACAGGAAACAUCUCUUCUCCAAGCUUCCUGAGUACACGAGUACCCAGGUUCAUUUGUUCGUUCUUUCUUUCUUUCUUUCUUUUUCUCUUUCUUUUUUCCUUCUCUCUCUCUCUCUCUCUCUCUCUCUCUCUCUCUCUCUUUCUCUCUCU